CACCUUACGAGCUGCAGCUGUGACAUGACUGAUGGCAGCUUAGACAAAACUUGAGUGGAUGUGGCCAAAGUUUUACUCCAGGAAAAUUUCCUCUGCGUUUUUAUUCCAUCUCUGGCAGUGCCUGAUUUUUCUGUGUGGUUGUUCAUCCUCUGGGCGUCCUGGCUAAUCAGCAGCAGUGUGAGCAUCACUUAACAUGGUCACACAUUAAACCUUAACACCAGGAGCAAAGCCAGUUGAGGUGGUUUGGACAUCUGAUCAGGAUGACUUCUGGGUGCCUCCAUGUGGAGGUCUUUAGGGCACAUCCAGGAGAGGAGGAGACCCCGGGGAAGACCCAGAACUCACUGGUGGGAUUGUACAACCUAGCACCUCGGGGACUGUACUGGACUAUCCAUGUGGACUCUCAUCUUUCUUCAGGACGACUCCAAGAAGGUUACAGUUGAGAUCAUCAGCUUAUGAGGACGACUAUGGGACAUUUGAUGCCAAAUGGUCUGACCUGAACCUCAUAGAGAAUCUCUAGGAAAAUGUCAAGAAGAAGGUGAGAGACAGCAGAGUCAACAAUACACGAGCUGAAGGCUGCUAUCAGAGCAACCUGGACUUCAUAACAACCCAGCAGUGCCACAGACUGAUCGCCUCUAUGCUGUGUUGCAUUGCUGCAGUAUUUUUUGCAAAAGGAGCAUCAACCAACUACUGAGUGUAUAUGAGCAUACGCUUCCCAAUGAGACUGCUGUUUUGUAAUAUUGUUAUAUUUUGAGAUAGUAGAUUUUUGUGAGUCGUAAUCAUCAAUAAUCAAACAAUAAAGGGUACCUGUCGUUGUAACUAGAUCAAAAAUAAUCCCCAACUUAGACUUGCUGCAAAAAAAAUGGGAGACUAUUUUUAGAGACCUACUUUUGCACAGCACUUACAAAAUGACACUAAUGUAAAUAUAUAACUGAAACAACAGGAUGCAUUCAAAUAAACACUGAAGAGGAUGUUAUCAACAAGUUCCUGGACGGGUUGAAGAGGAAUCACUGUUGUGUCACGCAAACUGGAUUAACCAGAUGAUAUUUGUGUUUGAAAAGUGUUAGCACUUGUAUAAACUAAACUCAAAAUAAAUCUGUUUGAAAGACAUUGA